GGAGAUGUAGCUCAGUGGUAGAGUUCUUGCCUAAUAUGCAUGUGGUCCUGGGACCAACCUGCAACUCUG
rnacentral:tRNA from 1 species